GUAUCGAUGAUGAUUCCCAGUCAAACAUUCCUUGGAAAAGCUGAACAAAAUGAGUGAAAACUCGAUAUAGCCGCUCUCCUCAGGACUGAGUUCC
ensembl:snoRNA SNORD116 Small nucleolar RNA SNORD116